rnacentral:rRNA from 1 species
GAUGAACGCUGGCGGCGUGCCUAAUACAUGCAAGUCGAGCGUACGGACGAGAAGCUUGCUUCUCUGAUGUUAGCGGCGGACGGGUGAGUAACACGUGGAUAACCUACCUAUAAGACUGGGAUAACUUCGGGAAACCGGAGCUAAUACCGGAUAAUAUUUUGAACCGCAUGGUUCAAAAGUGAAAGACGGUCUUGCUGUCACUUAUAGAUGGAUCCGCGCUGCAUUAGCUAGUUGGUAAGGUAACGGCUUACCAAGGCAACGAUGCAUAGCCGACCUGAGAGGGUGAUCGGCCACACUGGAACUGAGACACGGUCCAGACUCCUACGGGAGGCAGCAGUAGGGAAUCUUCCGCAAUGGGCGAAAGCCUGACGGAGCAACGCCGCGUGAGUGAUGAAGGUCUUCGGAUCGUAAAACUCUGUUAUUUGGGAAGAACAUAUGUGUAAGUAACUGUGCACAUCUUGACGGUACCUAAUCAGAAAGCCACGGCUAACUACGUG